UACACACAGCCAGACAUGGCCGGCGCUUCCUGCCUGUGCUUGCACGCUGCAGGGCCAAUCCGCUCGCUUGCUUGCUUGCUCCGUGUUGGGUUACAGUGACAAGGGGCCCUAUCUGAACCACGACUUUUAGAAAGAUAAUAUUACAGGCUCACAGCUGAUCCAUCCCCCAGUACACAAUUGAGAUAGAGGAGGUUAAAGCACUCUGAACGCACGGGACCAUAUUGCAGGUAUUUGUGCCUGUGGCAGGGUCCUGGUCUUUUGUUUCCUCGUGUUCCUGCUCAGCUCCACACGACGAUCUGCGCACACAGGCUUCAGACAGCGCCUCCCAGCACUCCUCCAUGUUCUCCUCCAUCUGCCUCCUGUCCAUUGAUCAGCUUUCCAGGGCAUCAGUCUGUUUAACAUCUGCUACAAGUUCCAGCAGCUCAGAUGCGCACAGGCUGUAAUGAAGAGCUCUUGAACUCCCAGUCAGAGAAGCUGUGACAGGAGUUCAGGAGGAUGCCUCUUUGGCUCUGCUGGACGUAUGACACACACACACACACACGUUGGCACGCACAUGCAUACACACUCAGGUGCACAUGCACCCAGAGACAGCAACAAACGGCUAAUACAGAAAUCAAAAUGAAGCUGUCACUCGUACAUUGUUUCACAAAUCACUAGUUUUUCAUUUAAAGUGUCCAAUGUCCAAUCUUCCAACUGAUAUAGGAAAAAUAUGAAAAAUCUCCCCUGUACUUCUGCUUUUUUAUUUUCUGCUUUCCUCGAAACAUUAUUUAUUUUUGGGCACAGCUUUGACAUGAAAUUAGAGGUUAGAAACUUUAUGAGAGAAACAUCCUCAUAGAGGCAUAACUUGAAUUUGUGAACUAUAAAAGCACCCGCAUUUC